GGAAUGGAAUGAAAACAACUUUUUCCCCGUUAAAUAAUUUGUGUCGGACGCUGAAAGAAAACGUUUAUUUUAAGGAAAAAUGGCAAAAACGACAAACAAGGCGCAAUAUGAAAGGCUCUAUGAGCUAAUGAGCGAAAGAGCAGAUCUGGCGCAAGGCUACACAAAACUGCCAAAAGAAGAAGUACAAAACUUCUGGGAAAAAGUCAAAGGCGAAUUGAAUAGUCUUGGGCCACCUCUAAAAGAUGCCUCAAUAUGGAGAAAAGUAUGGUUUGAUUGGAAGUCCUAUAUUAAAAGGAAGCUUGUGGACAACAAAAAAGAAACAAAAGCAACUGGUGGUG